rnacentral:tRNA from 3 species
UAUAAAGUAAGCUAAUCUAAGCUAGUGGGUUCAUACCCCAAACAUGAUUUUAUCCUUUAUUA